rnacentral:rRNA from 1 species
ACGUCCUACGGGAGGGCAGCAGUGGGGAAUGAUUGGAACAAUCGGCGAAAGCCUGAUCCAGCCAUGCCGCGUGUGUGAAGAAGGCCUUCGGGUUGUAAAGCACUUUCAGUGAGGAAGAAAGCCUUGAGGUUAAUACCCUCGAGGGAGGACAUCACUCACAGAAGAAGCACCGGCUAACUCCGUGCCAGCAGCCGCGGUAAUACGGAGGGUGCGAGCGUUAAUCGGAAUUACUGGGCGUAAAGCGCGCGUAGGCGGCUUGAUAAGCCGGUUGUGAAAGCCCCGGGCUCAACCUGGGAACGGCAUCCGGAACUGUCAGGCUAGAGUGCA